rnacentral:rRNA from 1 species
AUUGAACGCUGGCGGCAGGCCUAACACAUGCAAGUCGAGCGGAUGAAGGGAGCUUGCUCCUGGAUUCAGCGGCGGACGGGUGUGUAAUGCCUAGGAAUCUGCCUGGUAGUGGGGGAUAACGUCCGGAAACGGGCGCUAAUACCGCAUACGUCCUGAGGGAGAAAGUGGGGGAUCUUCGGACCUCACGCUAUCAGAUGAGCCUAGGUCGGAUUAGCUAGUUGGUGUGGUAAAGGCAUACCAAGGCGACGAUCCGUAACUGGUCUGAGAGGAUGAUCAGUCACACGGGAACUGAGACACGGUCCAGACUCCUACGGGAGGCAGCAGUGGGGAAUAUUGGACAAUGGGCGAAAGCCUGAUACAGACAUGCCGCGUGUGUGAAGAAGGUCUUCGGAUUGUAAAGCACUUUAAGUUGGGAGGAAGGGAAGUAAGUUAAUACCUUGCUGUUUUGACGUUACCAAAAGAAUAAGCACCGGCUAACUUCGUG